rnacentral:rRNA from 1 species
AGUCGAGCGCACUCUUCGGAGUGAGCGGCGGACGGGUUAGUAACGCGUGGGAACAUACCUUUCGGUAAGGAAUAGCCACUGGAAACGGUGAGUAAUACCUUAUACGCCCUUCGGGGGAAAGAUUUAUCGCCGAGAGAUUGGCCCGCGUUAGAUUAGAUAGUUGGUGGGGUAACGGCCUACCAAGUCUACGAUCUAUAGCUGGUUUUAGAGGAUGAUCAGCAACACUGGGACUGAGACACGGCCCAGACUCCUACGGGAGGCAGCAGUGGGGAAUCUUGGACAAUGGGCGCAAGCCUGAUCCAGCCAUGCCGCGUGAGUGAUGAAGGCCUUAGGGUCGUAAAGCUCUUUCGCCAGAGAUGAUAAUGACAGUAUCUGGUAAAGAAACCCCGGCUAACUCCGUGCCAGCAGCCGCGGUAAUACGGAGGGGGUUAGCGUUGUUCGGAAUUACUGGGCGUAAAGCGUACGUAGGCGGACCAUUAAGUUGGGGGUGAAAUCCCGGGGCUCAACCCCGGAACUGCCUCCAAAACUGCUGGUCUUGAGUUCGAGAGAGGUGAGUGGAAUUCCGAGUGUAGAGGUGAAAUUCGUAGAUAUUCGGAGGAACACCAGUGGCGAAGGCGG